AUUGAACGCUGGCGGCAGGCCUAACACAUGCAAGUCGAGCGAGCGGCGGACGGGUGUGCAAUGUCUGGGAAACUGCCUGAUGGAGGGGGAUAACAACUGGAAAAGGUAGCUAAUACCGCAUACCAUCAGAUGUGCCCACAUGGGAUUAGCUAGUAGGUGGGGUAACGGCUCACCUGGGCGCCGAUCCCUAGCUGGUCUGUGAGGAUGACCAGCCACACUGGAACUGAGACACGGUCCAGACUCCUACGGGAGGCAGCAGUGGGGAAUAUUGCACAAUGGGCGCAAGCCUGAUGCAGCCAUGCCGCGUGUGUGAAGAAGGCCUUCGGGUUGUAAAGCACUUUCAGCGGGGAGGCGUUACCCGCAGAAGAAGCACCGGCUAACUCCGUGCCAGCAGCCGCGGUAAUAC
rnacentral:rRNA from 1 species